ACUGACGACGGUUUGGCGGGAAAUUUGGUUUUAUGUUCUUGGAAGGUAAUCUCGCAAAUUAUGCCGUGCGAAGCUGUUUAUCAUUUCCUUAGUAGUACGGUGUGCAACUAUGUAUAGUUUAGUCAACAUUUUCGUUUUUUUUUCCUGUAUUCCAAUUUUGGAUCUUUCAGUCACAGUGAAAACCGGGGACAGGUCACUGAAAACGGGGCUGCCUGGCCACCCUACGUCGUACUUUAGUUAUUUGAUGUUUAAUUUUCUGUGAUGUCGGUCGUUUUUAUCUAUGGGUAUAUUAUUACUCUGAAGCCAGCUCAAUCAGUUGAUGUCCUUUGGCUUUAGGACGCAGUCCAACUGAAGCUGUUUCGUUAGAGCGACAAUAGAUGACUCUGCAGUCCCCGGGUUGGAUGACGUCACUGACUAACCAGUGCCCACAGAAGAAGUUAGUGUACUUAACAGUAAUGUGCGUAUAAAGUCGUCGCGAAGCUCAUUCCCCACAAUAGUGCUUUUUUUUAUGACAUGUGGCAGAAAAACUCCAGUUGACCGGGAAAACAGAGCCCCGUCAGGAGUGCUAAACGACUCUGGAAACGGAAGGCAUUUCCUGCAAAGGAUCUUCCCUGACGCUCGGAGGAGGCCAAGGACCCGAAGGAUUCCGCCAAAGGAGAAACACAACCUAUACUGGAAACUCUGCUGGAUUCUCCUGGAUACACAAUCGUGGAAGACCUACCUAGGCUGAUGAAG